rnacentral:rRNA from 1 species
AUGCACGCUGGCGGCGUGCCUAAUACAUGCAAGUCGAGCGCACGGACGAGAAGCUUGCUUCUCUGAUGUUAGCGGCGGACGGGUGAGUAACACGUGGAUAACCUACCUAUAAGACUGGGAUAACUUCGGGAAACCGGAGCUAAUACCGGAUGAUAUUUUGAACCGCAUGGUUCAAAAGUGAAAGACGGUCUUGCUGUCACUUAUAGAUGGAUCCGCGCUGCAUUAGCUAGUUGGUAAGGUAACGGCUUACCAAGGCAACGAUGCAUAGCCGACCUGAGAGGGUGAUCGGCCACACUGGAACUGAGACACGGUCCAGACUCCUACGGGAGGCAGCAGUAGGGAAUCUUCCGCAAUGGGCGAAAGCCUGACGGAGCAACGCCGCGUGAGUGAUGAAGGUCUUCGGAUCGUAAAACUCUGUUAUUAGGGAAGAACAUAUGCGUAAGUAACUGUGCACAUCUUGACGGUACCUAAUCAGAAAGCCACGGCUAACUACGUG